rnacentral:rRNA from 1 species
AUUGAACGCUGGCGGCAGGCCUAACACAUGCAAGUCGAGCGAGCGGCGGACGGGUGAGUAAUGUAUGGGGACUGCCCGAUAGAGGGGGAUAACUACUGGAAACGGUGGCUAAUACCGCAUACUAUCGGAUAACCCAUAUGGGAUUAGCUAGUAGGUGGGGUAAAGGCUCACCAAGGCGACGAUCUCUAGCUGGUCUGAGAGGAUGAUCAGCCACACUGGGACUGAGGCACAGCCCAGACUCCCACGGAGGCAGCAGUGGGGAAUAUUGGACAAUGGGCGAAAGCCUGAUGAAGCCAGGCCGCGUGUAUGAAGAAGGCCUUAGGGUUGUAAAGUACUUUCAGCGUGGAGGCGUUACCCACAGAAGAAGCACCGGCUAACUCCGUGCCAGCAGACGCGGUAAUUC